CGCUCUAUUAGUUUGUAUCACUGUGGUACCCAUUCGGCAGCCGCACCAGAAUGGAUGUUGGCAGCCUCACUCCUCCUAAAGUGAGCAUCCUGCCGCCCUCCAGUGAAGAGAUCUCCACAAAGAAAACAGCAACACUGAUGUGUGUGCUCAACAAGGGUUUCCCCUCAGACUGGAGUGUGAUGUGGAAGGUGGACGGGAGCAGCAGAUCUCAGGACAGCAGUGUUGGGCUCCUGCAGGAGGGCGGUCUGUACAGCUGGAGCAGCAGUCUGACUCUCUCUGAGCAGCAGUGGAGCUCAGUGAACUCAGUGAGCUGUGAGGCCAAACACAAAGAUCACAGUCAUACAGUCACUGGAGAAUUCAGGAGAGAUGAUCAGUGUUCACACUAGACUUUAGUCAUUCACUGCUGAUUGUGUUUCAUCAUGAUUCAACAAA